rnacentral:rRNA from 1 species
GAUGAACGCUCGCUACAGGCUUAACACAUGCAAGUCGCGGGGCAGCAUGGGGGUUGCUUGCCAUCCCCGAUGGCGACCGGCGCACGGGUGAGUAACGCGUAUCCAACCUGCCCUUCACCACGGGAUAACCCGGCGAAAGUCGGACUAAUACCGUAUGUUGUCCAUUGACGGCAUCCGAUUUGGACGAAAGGCUUGGCGGUGAGGGAUGGGGAUGCGUCCGAUUAGCCAGACGGCGGGGUAACGGCCCACCGUGGCUACGAUCGGUAGGGGUUCUGAGAGGAAGGUCCCCCACACUGGAACUGAGACACGGUCCAGACUCCUACGGGAGGCAGCAGUGAGGAAUAUUGGUCAAUGGGCGUAAGCCUGAACCAGCCAAGUAGCGUGCAGGAUGACGGCCCUAUGGGUUGUAAACUGCUUUUAUGCGGGGAUAAAGUGGCCCACGUGUGGGCUUUUGCAGGUACCGCAUGAAUAAGGACCGGCUAAUUCCGUG